GGGACACGUGGUAUCCUGUCUGAAUAUGGGGGGACCAUCCUCCAAGGCUAAAUACUCCUGACUGACCGAUAGUGAACCAGUACCGUGAGGGAAAGGCGAAAAGAACCCCGGCGAGGGGAGUGAAAAAGAACCUGAAACCGUGUACGUACAAGCAGUGGGAGCCUCUUUAUGGGGUGACUGCGUACCUUUUGUAUAAUGGGUCAGCGACUUAUAUUCUGUAGCAAGGUUAACCGUAUAGGGGAGCCGAAGGGAAACCGAGUCUUAACUGGGCGUUAAGUUGCAGGGUAUAGACCCGAAACCCGGUGAUCUAGCCAUGGGCAGGUUGAAGGUUGGGUAACACUAACUGGAGGACCGAACCGACUAAUGUUGAAAAAUUAGCGGAUGACCUGUGGCUGGGGGUGAAAGGCCAAUCAAACCGGGAGAUAGCUGGUUCUCCCCGAAAGCUAUUUAGGUAGCGCCUCGUGAACUCAUCUUCGGGGGUAGAGCACUGUUUCGGCUAGGGGGCCAUCCCGGCUUACCAACCCGAUGCAAACUACGAAUACCGAAGAAUGUUAUCACGGGAGACACACGGCGGGUGCUAACGUCCGUCGUGAAGAGGGAAACAACCCAGACCGCCAGCUAAGGUCCCAAAGUCAUGGUUAAGUGGGAAACGAUGUGGGAAGGCACAGACAGCCAGGAUGUUGGCUUAGAAGCAGCCAUCAUUUAAAGAAAGCGUAAUAGCUCACUGGUCGAGUCGGCCUGCGCGGAAGAUGUAACGGGGCUAAACCAUG
rnacentral:rRNA from 1 species